UCUCUCCACGUUCGGUUCAACCUCGACUGCUCUCUUGGCACUUCUGAUAAUCGAUUUUGUCUUCACUCUUGCAAAAGCUUCUCAAUUCCCAACUGCCAAGAUAUUGGGUUCACCUUUUCACAAAAGACCCCGAAGUUAUGUCCAUCUCUUCUACAGACGGAUCGCAAUUUGAUACCUAUACUUCUAGAAUCCAAUAGGGUUCAUCCUUUUAGGUUUGGCAGGUCUCAGUACAGUUUAAGUUGUUGAUGCAUAUUGAAUUUGUGCGAUGACACCCGAACGCCGUCGACGGCGUCUUUCACACUGCGAAAGACAAUGUAUAAAUUAUCAAUGAGUCGUUUGUACAAGAUGAUAUGAUUAGGAUCCCAGAUGCAUUGGUUAUUCCUUGGGUUGGUGAUGAAUCUCUUGGCCAACUAAUUGCUUCUAUAUUUCCAGGUUUAGAGGACAAUGCAUUUGAUAGGUUUUAUAUGGUGGAUAGAGCUAUUAUAACGCCUAGG